CAUUAAACUUAAACCACAUUGAGAAUGCCUGAUCUGGUCAAAUCUCAGAAGCCAAGCAGGCUGGGCCUGGUUAGUACGUAGAUGGGAGCCCACUGGUAAUACUAGCUGCUGCAGUGG
rnacentral:rRNA from 1 species